GGUUGACUAAUCUAAUCAUCUUGUGGAUAUGAUAUGGUAGUUUGACUCUGACAAGCUAGGUAGGAGCUUGGAAAUGAACGGGUCAAAUGGAUACAAGUUCAAGUAUGAAGCUCGCAAGGAUGCAAGGUAAGUAUAACUUACACUAGUCAUAUAUUUUAGAAUGUUCUUUUGUCGUAUUGACUACGAAUAAGACAAAUGGGAUUUAGUCACACGUUGACAAUAAUCGUUAGUUUUAAAAGACGCUUUCCCGCGUAAGACAUAAAGAGCCGAAAGUGGUAAUAAACGGUUUAUAAAUAAAAUGAGCAUACGGUGUUAAAAGGAGCGAGUCAUGUAGAUGAGAUGAUAAUAAAUAUUAUCUCGCAAAGAUAAACGGUCAAUUCGGCCAAACGGGUCAAAAGGUGUAGACAUCACCUUUUGACAAUAUCGACUAAUGAUUCUGGUGUCGAGUUAUAUGUUUACAGGAGUAGAUAUCCAAUGGAUACUCGCAUCGCUCUUAAUUAGCAAUUAUAAAGCAAGGUACAUUUUGGAUGCCGGAAGACGAUCAAGCUCAUUGGAGAACCAAACACGAUAAAGAUACAUGCUUCCGCACAGUGUCCUGUCGUAAAUUUUAAACGACGAAUUCAAUUACGUUAUGUCGAAUAACUUAUGAUUUGUAAAAGAUUUAAUAAACCCAUAUUUUUA